CUGUGAGUGUGGCCCUAAAAAGCAAAAAACAAAUAAAAAGCCAAAGUGUUUAGCACAAUUAUCUUUGGAAGAUAGAGUUUGCAUAGUUUCUCUUCUCCACCAUUGAUCCAGUAUGAAAUGACAUGUUUGGGUAGCACAUGCCUUCAUGUGAUGAAGUAAUGUUUUGGAUUCCAAAGAGUCUCUAGUGAAAAAGAAAAAAGUCAUAAAUCACAAAAAGCAAAGCUGGGUUUGAUGAUUGGCUGGUAUUUGAGUAUCAAAAGGACAAUUACAAAUAUUUUCAGUGUAAGUUUAUGUUAAUAUUAAUAGUAAACAAAUUUGCACAUAAUUUAUGUUUUAAGGCAGGAUAGAAAUUAUUCAGUUAAUAUAUUUGCUUUUCCAAUAUUAAAAAAAAAUCUUAAGAUAGAGAUAAAAAUUCCUUACCUAGAAGAAAAUCUAAUAUCAUUCAUGUAAUGUCUUAUUGGAAUAUGCUGCAUCAUUGUGGAAAUUUUUAGGUCACUACUACUGCUGGUAUUAGAUAGAACUUUUUAAAUAAUUUAUACCAAUCACUUGCUUUUCUAGCUUAGACAUUUUACCUUAACUAGUUUGACUGACACCUAUAAAAUUUCUUUUAGUCACAAUAACACUUGCAUUUCUUUCCCCAUACUUUUCAUAUUAUUGUUUACUAACCUGUGAACUUCUUUAGCAACUGACUAAAAGUACCAUUUUUGGUCACUUGUGCAUUUGGAUUUUCUGUACCACAUUUAGUUUGGUUCACUGAAGUGAGAGUUAACUGCAGUGACUUGACUGACUAAAAUGAUUGAAACAAUUAUAUAUAAACAAAGAAAUGAGUUGUCAUUACUUACAGACAACAAAUUGCUGAAGACUGAAUUUCUUAUAAUAUUCAGUCAACAAAUAUUGAGUACCUGCUGGAAGACAAGUUGUUUUUUAGGCAUUGAUAUUUCAGUCAAUUGACUUAGACUUUCUGGGGAGCAUCUUGCUAUUUUGAAACAAGUGCUCUGCCUUCACUCUUCCAUUUUAAUGAAAAUCUAAUUGACUGAGUUUUACCUUGUACCUAUUUCUGAGUCAGAAAUUGUAAGGUGAUCACAUUUCAGUAUGCAUUUUGUUCCACAGACCUAACCUGUUUUUCCUAUACUUCCAUCCUGUUAUAAAAAUGACAUUUACCUAUUUAUUCACAUUUAUGAAAACUUGUUGAAAUAAGUUCUUGGUAAGUAGGAUUAUGUUUUAAAUGCCCAUUUUAUACAUUCUUUAGUGGGUACCUACCAUAAGCCAGGACAGUUCUAGUGUGCAAGAGGGAGAAGUGGUGAAAUGGGAUUGAGUAUAAGUGCCUUCUUAUAACAUGGGAAAGAACUUAACUUCUAUGCUACGGUAUAGAUAUCUAUCAGCUGGCCAAAGUGGGAAAGGGAAGUGAUUAGAUAUGCACUUUAAGAGGCUCAUUCUGAAAGCUGCAGAGGAUGCUUUAGAUGAAAGUAAGACCAAAUGGGAGAUCAUAGCAGUAAUUCUGACAAAAGAUAAGAUAGGCCUGAAAAAGGGCAAUGAUAAUUGCAAUGGAAAGCAACACACAUAUCCGAAAGAAAGGAGGGAGACAGAAUCUACAGAACUUUGCGUCUCACUGGCUAUGAAAAAUGAGAAAGAGGAGUCAAGAAUGAGUGCCAGCUGUAAUGCUUAAUUGAGUGGUCAAUGGGAAAGAGGCCGUACAUUCUGGUUAGAUUAAGACUAUUCCAAGUUGUAUUUGGAGUGCCAGAGUAAUUAUUAAUGAAGCCCCUUCUCUCAAAAUUGUCCUGGUUUAGAUGAUAAAUUAUGUGGCCAUCCUAAUGAAGAAUGAUCCUGUUUUCUAUGCAAUCUGAAAGAUAAGGAGAUGAGUGAAUUAGGGUAAAGGAAGAGCAUUUAAAAUAAGGCUCUCCAUAGGGAAAUAGCCAGUAAGCAAAUGAACUUAUAGCUGUGGAACUCAGGAGAAAAAUGCUUGAGUUGAGAUAUAGAUUUGAGCAUGAUUAGAUGGAAAUGAAAUUGCAAAGACAGAAUGUGAAGAAUGAGAAAGGGAAGAAGCUCAAGAUAGAAACUUCAGAAACACUAAUGUUGAGGAGAAAGGAGAUGGGGAAAUAGCUAUCCAAACACACAGCAACUAAGAGGAAAGUCCAGGAAACGAAAUCAUAAGGACAAGAAAAGAGAAUUUCAGGAAGGAGAAAAUAGGCAACAGUGCCAAAUUCAAGUAAAACAAGAAAAAAGAAAUACCACUGGUUUGAACAAUUUGAAACAGUGAUGACCUAGGCAAAGACAAAUUCCCUGGAAUGAUCGGUGUAGUAAUCAAAUCACAGGAGGUGAAAAGAGGCAAGCAAUAAUGUGUGAAAGGCAGUGCAGUAUCAUCAGGAAAACACAGGCUUUGAAGUGAGACAGAGUGUUGCUCAUCCCCACAAGCCCUUACUAGUUGUGUGACUUUGGGCAGGUUGCUUAACUUUACCCUCGCUCACUCUUCACUCAUUUAUUCAGUACUUACUUAUUAAACAUUUAUAGAGCACAUAUCAAAUCCUAGGAAUCAGCUAACCAUGAACAAUUUAUGUCUCCAACAUGAAGGCACACAUCUUUUUACAAUAUAAUAUAGAUAGUGCUAUUACAGAUGUGUAAAUAGCACAUUUUGCUUUCUAAUUGCAAGCUCCAUUAAUAAUGAUAAAAACAUCUAGCACUUGGUUAAGUUCUUCCUAUAUGCCAGGCAUUGUACGAAAGGCUCUCUAUGAAUUAUUUCCCUUUAUUCAUUUAGAAUGUCAUAUAAAACAAUAUGAGAGGAAUACUAUUUUAGUUCCAGUUUGCACAUGAGGAAGCUAAGGCUCAGAGAGGUUUAGGACUUGUCAAAUGUCACCCUAAUAAUUGGAAAAAUCAUAAGCAGAGUCCAGGGAGACUGACUUCAAAGUAAGCAUUUUAAAUUACUAUACUGCCUUCCAUCAUCAAUUGCCAGACCGUUUUCAUGUUAUUCAUCACUGUAUCCCCUGGACAUACUUAGUUUCCUGACAUAUUGUUCUUGAAAACUAUUAAUAAAUAUUUGUGAAAGGAAGGAGGGAAGGGCAGGGAAGAGGAAGGAAGGGAAGAAGAGAAGAAGGGAGGUUGGAAGGAUAAAAAAGAAAUAGGGAAAGGAAGAGAGAAAGAGAAAAAGACAAAAAGAAAAGAGUUCUAUGAGAAACAAGGGAAUGGAAGAAGCAGCUCUGACUAGGAUUCACAGAAUUUUUAUCAAGGAGAUGAUAUACGGGCUGUAUUAAAGAAAUGUAGUCAUUUGCUAAGCUAAGAAAGAGAACAGAAGAUACUCCUUCAGCUUGGGCAAACAACACCUUUUCAUUCUCAUCCACCUCUAGGGAUAGGCCUCAUAUUCUCUAAGACUCUAAAGUACCUAAUCUUUUAUUUCAUGACCCGGAGACUCAAUAUUAUUGAUCACUGCUACCUAUCUUAUACCUUGGCCUAAAUAAACACUAACUUUACUGACAAGUCUGAACUUCUGACCCUCAGUCAUAUAAAUAUAAUGGCUUGCUAAUCAUAAAAAAUAUCAAUUCUGUAGUUCCCAUCGUGGCACAAUGGUUGACGAAUCUGACUAGGAACCAUGAGGUUGCAGGUUUGAUCCCUGGCCUUGCUCAGUGGGUUAAGGAUCCCGAGUUGCCAUGAGCUGUGGUAUAGGUUGCAGAUGCGGCUCGGAUCCUGCGUUGCUGUGGAUCUGGCGUAGGCUGGCAGCUGCAGCUCCAAUUAGACCCCUAGCUGGGAACCUCCAUAUGCCAUGGGAGAGGCCCUAGAAAAGGCAAAAAGACAAAAAAAAAAAAAAAAAUCAAAUUCUAAUGACUGUUUUCUCAGGAAAUCUUGUGGGGCUUCUUAUCCAAACACUCAAGUUUUGAUAGAAAGAAAGACAUCGAUUCUGGACCAAAUUCCCCCAGGAAUAUUAAGCAUCAAUAAGUAAUAGACCUCUUUCUACAUGAUAUCUCCUCAUUCUCUCAUUUUAAACAUUCUUCCAAUUGCCCAAAUUAUGAGGCAAGAACAAAACUCCCAAUUAAUUUUAAAAUGUGCCUGACCUUCUCUACAAUUGCCACUGUUACCUUUCAAACCUUGAUAGUCAUUGUUUCUCAUCUGCUUAAGGGUGAAUUAUACCAUGAGUCAUGAAAACAAAGCAACACAAAACCAAAAAAAAGGUCUUUGAUGUUCAGAAGAGUAUCCUCAAACUCACCAAUAUUACUUAGGUAAAAUAUCUGAAGUACAUUUUAUCUGUUUAUUUGUUUGAAUUGUUUGGAAAUAGCAUCCUUCUUAUUCAUUUUUCGUUUACUUUGUAUAGACACAAUCUAAACCAACCCACUAGUCCUUUCUAAAAUAUGACCUUCUUAUGUUCCUGAAUAUAUUCUGUUUUCUGUGACUGUUACCUGGCUUGUUUUAAGCAUGUCUUUUAAGUACUGGGCAGUAAUUUGUUUUCUUGGGAAGCCUAGGAGAUACAGUCUUGCAGGGCAUAUGCAUACCAUGUGGUUCUUUUUUGACAACCCAAAUGUGGACCCCAGGUAAAAGUUCUGCUGAAUGUCAAGCCAGCGACUGGUCACAUCUCCAAGGAAGAUAAUAGAAAAUUGCCUGGGCCUGAUUUCUGAACGAUUCUUCAUUAAACAACACAAAAUCCAUGCAGAUUGGACAGAGAGAAGGCUAACAUGGAUUAGAAGAAAUUUUUGCUAGCUUUUACUACAGAUUGUAUUUUGUCCUCCCAAACUCUGAGCAAAGGUAAUGUCUCCGUUUCCCUACUCUUUAUUUUGGAAUUACAAAGGCAAUUAGUUCUCUAAUGAGUUAGAGCAAGCGAGGUGAAAGAGUAGGGGAAAACACUGAACACCAGAUGAUGUCUGCUAAUGCCAAGAAAUAAAUAAGUGACUCGUUCUUGGUAAAAAAAAAUCUUUCAGGUGGAUGUUUCUUUUUAUCUUUUAAAACUAAAGUGUGUAAAAUGUAUGGUUUAGUAUGUAUGGAGAAAAUCUAUUUCAAUAUAUUAUGUGGUAAAGAUUAGUGGUCAUGAGCACAUGAGUCUCUAUGUUACUGACUGAGUCUAUCAGUAAAUUUUACCUCUGGAAUUUGUGGAUCAUUGCUGAGAUACCUAAAAACUGAGAAAGAAGGGGAAAAAAUAGCUCCUACCUUUAUAAAAAUAGUUCAUUAAAAUAGAGAAUAACCUGUGCAAAAUUCAAAGUGGGCAGGUAUUGAAAUGCUGAGAUAUAAAAGCGAUGACUGGAAAGUUAAUUAUUGUUGUGAGGAAAUAAAAUUGCACAAAUUCAAGAUGUGCAAAAAGAUCCUCUCUAUGUGUGGUGCAUUUGGAAAAGCAAGGUCUUUUGAGUAAAUGGAACAGUGAGUACUAGGCCUAGUUUAUAGCAGGUGCUCGGUUAGUUGAAUCUCAAGCCCAGUUACUCAAGUUGUUUAAAAUGGCUGGGAUAGAAGCCACUUUACCCAGCCUACACAAUGUAGCAUCAUAAAAAUAACCCAGGCCAGGAUUUGAGUCUCACUCUGACACAAGCUGGAUACCCUAGGCAAGUCAUUUUACCUCUUGUGGAGCCUCCAUUUGUGAAAUGGAGAUAUAACAUCUAAUUUACAGAUUUAAUAGGAAAAUUAAAUGAGAUUUCAAAUGGUAGAAUGCUUCUCAGUAAAUGCUAGAUAUUGUUGUUAGUAUUCUUAACUAGGGUAAGUAUUUCCAUUUCCAUUUUCCUAACUUUUAAUAUUAAGGAGAUGAAUCAUUGCUCUUUAGAGUAUUGUAAACAGGAAAUGGCCUACAUUUAUCCAACAGGUGAUCUUAUGUGAUUAUCCAUGGACUGAAAUGUCCAAUAAUUUUAUAAUUGCUAUGUCCAUCUUAUUCAAUUACCAUUUGUAAUAUAUUCUGAAGGUGAUUGAGAGCAUUUUGGCUGCCUCUCCCUCCUUAGGAUCAAAUCAGCCUGUUGAUAAUCUUAGUAUAAUGCCUGUUUUGCAGGUUUGCUGUCACUAGUAUAAGCUGUGAGACACCAUUAGGGCCAUCUCAGUGCAGUUAACUGAAUCAAUGAAAGCUUGCCUCACUUUUAGAAGUGGGUUGUUUAUAUUAAUGUGUACUUAUUUGCAUUGAAGAUUCCACCAUGACGGCCUCCAUCCUUGAACAAGUUGCAAUAGCUCUCUCAGUGUACAAGAGAAUUUUCCCCAGGUGAAAUAUACAUUGAAGGGCUUAGAAUACAGUUACACAAAGUCACCAAGAGUAUAAGAUUCAGUUUAAAAAAAAUUAAGUACACAAACUAUAUUUUAUUCUAGAAAAGAUGUGUAGAUAUAAUAAAGAGGUCGUAGUUCUAAGAGUACUGCUUUCAUAUCAGUGACAAAUAUUAUCUGCACAUCUAAUAGACAGAUUAUAUGCUUUAUGUUAGCUUGGUAACAUAAAAUGAGUCCCAAAUAUAUGAUAUAAAAUUGAUUUAAAUUCACAGUGUUCAAUAUUUUUAAAACAUAAAUAUGCCUUCCAUGAAUGUGUACAUGGGACUUUGCCAUACCUUUAGUUUACUUGGCAAUGAAGCAUGCAAAAAUUAAAAUAAAGAGUAAAAUAUAAAUAGCCUUUAUAAACACCAUCAAAGACUCUAAAGAAUUUGGAAAUACUUAUGAAACAAAUGCUUAGAUUUUUUUCUUGUCUUUUUGCCUUUUCUAGGGCCGCUCCCGUGGUAUAUGGAGGUUCCCAAGCUAGGGGUCCAAUCAGAGCUACAGCUGCCAGCCUACUCCAGCGCCAUAGCAAUGUGGGAUCUGAGCCACGUCUGCAACCUACACUACAGCUCACAGCAACGUCAGAUCCUUAACCCACUGAGCAAGGCCAGGGAUCAAACCCACAACCUCAUGGUUCCUAGUCAGAUUCGGUAACCACUGAGCCACAACAGGAACUCACAAAUGCUUAGAUUUAAAAAAAAAAAAAAAAAAAAUUGAAAAAAAAACCAGUAUGAAUAGUUUUCAAUUCCUCUGGAAUUAUGUCUUAGAUUUUAAAACAUUCUAGAUCAAAAGUACAAACUUUCAAGCAAAGGGUUUUUUUCUGUAAACCACCUAAGCUAAUCAUCUAUACCAAAGUAUAAGCUUUUUCAUUUGUCAGCAUUCUGAUUUGGUUAAUUUUAGCAUACAUUAAUCACAGUAAACUAUGGUAUAAAACAAGUCUGUUUGAAUUAUAUGUUUUGUUCAGAGGUUUUUGGUUCAUAUAAUUAUUUCUUUUGUGCCAACUCAAGAAAUAGAACUCUUAUUAGUACAUUUCAUUUGAAAUACCUAAUCACUCUUUCAAAGACAUUUUAUCACUUGAUCUCUAUGUAUCAGUAAAUUAAAGCUCACAUAUUUGUCUCACAACCUCAGCUCACAGAAUGUUAAGUCAAACUAAUAAGAAGCAUCGAUCAUACCCACUGAAUAAGACAGUCUGCAUUACAAACACUCUCCUGUAAUUCAUCCAUUAUAUGGAACAUCUGUUACAAAUUACCCAAGCUCCAGGACUGCUCUAUUUAAGUGCUUCUGCAAAAGCCCACUGUCUCCAUUUCUCCAAAUGAGUUAGAUGGUGGCAUAGGGAUUGUACUAAGUUCACUGUGACCAUAUGACGGCAGUCUUUUGCAAUCUGUGCUGAGCUCUAAUGGUACACUGCAUAGUGAUAAAUAUCUACUUAUAGUUGUAGAGCAAAAAUACUCAGAGUAUAAGCCAGCAGCCAUCAAGAAACCACUAAGACAAUCCUUUCUCCAUUAUGUUUCAGCCAUUGUCAGCAAGUUAAGCGCUUAGGAAGUAAUACUUAUUCUGAAGUCCUUAAGAGACUGUUGAUUUGCUCAGUUAGUUAAAUAUGGAAUUAAUGACCCUAUAUACAUGUUUGUCAAGUUUUGUUCACUUCCAUGACUGUGAAACAUGUCCCAAGUCCCAAACAGAUAUCUUGAAAGGAAAUCUAACUACAGUCAAUUAUCUGUAUCUGCAAGUUUGGCAUACACAGAUUCAACCAACAGUGGAUCAAAAAUAUUUGGAUAAAAAAUUUCCAGAAAAUUCCAAAAAGCAAAACUUGAAUUUGUCCUGCAGGUAAUUAUUUAUAUAGCAUUUAUGUUGUAUUUACAAGUAUUUGCAUAGAGUUUACAUUGUAUGACAUACUAAAAUUAAUUUAGAGAAGGAUUGUGUAGAUUAUAUGCAAAUACUCUGCCUUUUAUAUGUAAAGCACUUAAGUAACCCUGGAUUUUGGUAUCUGAGGGAGUCCCGAAACCAAUCCUUGGUGGAUACUGGAGAACAACUGUAAGUGUGAACAAAUGCAGGUUUAUAUUUCAGAAAAAAACACGUUAAAGAAAGUCUCCUACUUAUGGUCUUGUCCACAGUAUUGUCAAAGAUACACCUGACUUUAAAAGAAUGACUUUAUAAAUGUGUUGGCCCAAUGUUGUCUUUGGAAAUAAUAACUCCAAAUUUGCUUCAUAGUGUAUUUGGGAAAAUAAGUCACAGGGAUAUCUAUAAAUUAUUCAUAAAUAAAUAGUGAAACCGAACAAAUGUAAAAAUCUAUACACUUGUACAUUAUUUUUUGGUCUUAAUUUGCAUUGCAGUUAUAAUGAGUCAUAUACAACAAACCCAAUAUUGGAUUUAUAGAAAGCUUUGCAGAAGCAUGGUACCUUGCAUAUUUUAGCACCCCAUAUGCUAUUUUUCCUACAGGCGUUCUUCCACUCAUCUGUUCUUAGAAUUUAUGUAAUACUAGCUUACUAAAUUAAUUUCAGGAUAGCGUCUGGGUUGCUUGAAGUUUUAAAUAAACAAGUUGGUUAUUUUUAAUUAUUCUUGUCAGUUUGCAAAUUAGACCCUCAAAUAUCUAUUUUCCAUUUCAGAAAGAUCACCUUCGAUGGAUGGAGAGUAUUGCUUAUAUGUUGGAAUAUAUAUAUUGUUUACAAUUUCAACUCAUGUAAAACUACAUUAAAUAUUUUUGCCUGCCUAAUUACCUGGAAUUGUUGGCUAAUUUACCUUUCACCUGAAGUCUGUGAUAAUUAAACAAGAAAUGUUUGUAUUGUUCUAAAAAGGAAUACAAGAAUUCUUUAAAUAAACAUUUUGAAUGUAGUGAUGCUAGAGUCUCACAUUGGUAAUUUAAUGCUUUAGCCAAAAAUGGCACAAGUCAUUUUAGCUCCCAUCACAGGGAGUUGAAAUUCCAAUGACAACCACAUGUUCACAAAUUAUACUAACCAGAAUAAAUGUCAUGAAAUUUCAAUUUUAUAAGACUGAUAUGGGGAAGAGGUAGUAUAUUUUUAGUUUUUGCUUACAACGAAAGUAGAAAAAGUCAUCAUAUACUAAGAUUGCAAGAGACAUAUAUGCAAACAUCCUCAGAGGAUCCAAAGACUACUGUCAGUGAAACUAAACUGACAGUUUCUACUAAGCAAUACCACUACAAUAAAAGAAGUUGAAAGAGUGAUUUACUGAGUCAUCACUAUCUACAGUUGUUAUCAAAACUUCAUUGCAAAAAAAAAAAAAUACCCA